UACCCGAAUCUCUGUAUGAGGCAUCUCCACUAGUCUUUUGGGACAUCUCAGAAUAUGAUACUCCUUUGAUAACUUGGAGAAAUAAAAGUUUUUUUGACCGACUUAUCGAGCGAAGAAGAAAUAAGGCAUCUCAAAUCUUACAUAUUCAGGAUCCUCAAUCCCUCUGGUCCAUUUUUGAUUGGCUGCAAAGUGAAGUGAAAGGUAUUAGAUAUAAGACUCCUCCAACAACAGGUUUCCUUGGUUUUAUCCUGGCAUUACAUCAUUGUCGAAGGAUUAGACUCUUUGGAUUUAUACCCAGGCUUCAACCAACAAACAUCUGUCACUAUUUCUCGAAUAAAGCAUCCGAUAAGUGUAUUGUUUGGCAUCCAGUUUCCGCUGAGAAACUCAUACUGUUAGAAUUAAAUGAAGGAUCACUUCAGGAGACGUAUCAACAUGGAUUUAUCACCGUUCAUGGAUUCCCUGAAGUGAAAUGCUAACGAGCUUUAAACGUUAGAAUUUAUUUUUAUAAAUUGAUGUCAAUCAUUUUCGAUACUUUCUCAAGAAAGACAUAAACUGCUCCAAGUUUUUCUUCUAAUACAUAAAUAUAAUUAUAAAAACACUGGCGGUAGUCAUCGGCAUUACCUUGAGUAAUUAAGCUCCGGACUUUAACAUUAUAAAGUAUAACUACUCAAUGCUUAUAUCAACUUAAAUGAGUUCAUUCCUCCAGACUGGGAAAAUAAUAAUUAGGCAUAACAGGAUGAAAGUGAAGAAAAUCCAACUCGUCCAACACAGUUUUUUCUUAAAAAGAAGGGAAGGAGAUGCUUCUCCAUGAACAUUUGCAAAAAAGAAAACAAAACGAAAGUACGGGGAUUUAACACCUUCCUCCUUUGUUUUUCUUGAAGGGAUGUCUAUAGGGCGGUUUGUUUUUAUAACUUUUUUUCGAAUUUUUGACACCGACUUGUCGGAAAACGGACACUGUAAUCCUGCUCAAUUAACUAUGGGUUCAGUCCAGUUGAGUCCUUCUUGACGUCACUACACUAUAUUUCUUCUUUUUUUUUCAUCAGUUCUAGUAAAGAGAGUUCACCAAAGGACUGACCGGCCCCUUGGACUGAUAACCGAUUCCAAGGACUUAUAGGCCCGGUCCUAAGACAUAACUGCACUGGACCAAACAAAUAAUGACUGACACAACCCUAUUUAGGGCUCAAGACUACAGUCCCUUCCAGUUUACUUUUGGUCCAGUUCAGUCCUUACUACAAGUCCUUCAGCUAAUUAAAUUCCGUCUUUCAUGCCGUCAUUCCACUUUAUUUCUUCUUUUUUAACCAUUUCGAAUACGGCAGUCCGAAGGAACAACAGUCUUAAAGACUGGUCUCAAGUAUUGAAUGGACUGGUCGAAUGGCUGGACUGUACUGAAUAAAUAAGGUCUGACACAACACUCAUUGUCACGCACUAUAUAAACAACUUCUGCAAAAUAUCCUUGCUCUACGAUGAUGUCAUCUUUCGAUGGUGCAGAUCAAUGUUACUAGAACAAGGUGACGUCAUUGGGACGACUCUUGCUAAUUAAAAAAUGGUGGUUACUCAAUAUUUCUUAAGUGAUAUUUUACUAAAUGUAAUUCCAAAAGUAAAUAAAACUACUCGUGUCUGUGCAGCGGCUAUUUGUAAAAACACAAGAGGUGUUCCACUGAUUCACAAGAGACUUUGCCAGAGGAAAGGCUUGGAUUUUGGGUUGUUGAAGAAAAGACGAAUUCAAUACUGAUGAAACCAGAAUUUAGCAAUAUAGAUUAGCCACUUCUGUGAUAAUCAUAUCAUUUAUUUCAGUUUUUACUUUUUAAAUUUAUGUAGUAUCAUGAAUAACCAAGACUCGUCCCAAUGACGUAACCAGAAAUAGAAAGGGAGAGAGAUAUAUUUAAUAAAUUUAUGUGCUGUCCCAGCCAUUUUCUUGUUGCCUAACCUUGUUCUACUAACAUUGGUGCAGAUCUCGCUGAAUGUUUGAAA
rnacentral:lncRNA from 1 species